AAACGUCAAAGCAAAGUGUUCUUGACGUUCUUGUUGACUUGUGUUUUGUAAAAAGAAAGAAUUUAAUUCGAGAGAAUAGUUUGGCUGCAUAUUUUUUAUAACUGAGAUCGUAAAUAUCUAUUAUAAUGUCACGUGCGUAUGAGGAUUAUUUAUGCUAUUUUACAAUUUCUAAUAAAGUGGUGGUGUCCAAAAGGGAUUACAGUGCUUUAUGGAGGUGAUAUUAAGAACAAUAAUGAGUGAGAAUAGUGUGACGGGUAUAUUCAUAAAUACGAGAGGCAAUUCAAAGCUAUUCAUAUACCAAAACCACACAUUCAGGUUUAUGUAUAAGAAGGCGUAUGGGAGCCAGCUGUGGUAUUGCUGGUACUUCUUCAGCAGAUGUUGUCCGGCGAAGCUCCGGAUAAAUGAUGCGGGGAAGGUGACGGAGAGCAUAGGCCGGCAUAACCAUGACCCUCCGACCUGCUGGAUGACUCCCGAUGGCAAGUCGUACAACUUGCCGCCGCUGCCCUGCAAAAACAACGACCGAAGAACGCCAUAAGGCUUCUACAAACUUUGCAACUAAUGGUAUGCGAUUUCAAAUAAUUGCUGGCUAAAUAGGAGCAAUACUGCACUACUACAUUAUUACUAUAGAUCUCAGUACGGGGGUGACAACGUCACUGAGACGUAACCCCAUCCUUAAAAAAAAAAGGGGGGGGGGACGAUGCCGCAAUGUAUUGCAAAUCGCAUGCAAUUAUCGUUAACGUUUGGAGAGGCCUACAACCUAAUUAUCAUGUAAUGAAAACAUUUUUUUAUUGGUUCACUGCCCUGUAAAUAUGAGAACAAAGUUUAUAUUUAAGUAAAUAUAAUUAUGUUGAGAUUCUAUUUGCCUUUAUAUUUUUAUUGUUAUUAUGAAUUGGUUAACAUUUUUAGAUUAAUUAGGCUAAGCAUGUCCACAAAUUAUUCAAAGAAUGAGAUAUUUGUUAUUGAUAGGUGCAUAAAUUAUCUAAAUUGAUGUUUUAUAUGUACAUGUUUUAUUUUAUUUGCCAUAAAAAUAUAAAAAUGUCUGGUUUAAUGCCCAGUGAGACAUCUCUCAAAAAUGUAAUAUAAUUUUUUUAACACAUUGGUUAACUGGGUAACAUUUGUGGCGUUUUUAAACAAAAGGUAUCAUUUUUAACUGUAUUGUGGUACCUUUUGGUUUAGAAAACGAUGUUAUAAUUAGCUCUUGGGAGAUAGCUGGACUUUACAAAGGCCACCGUGUGGCUACCUGGCGUUGACACCAGAACGGUGGAUAAACUCGUAUCUAGAUUAAUUCAUUAUCCGCACACUUCCACAUUAGUUUACUGCAUAAUAAGCUAUCAGUAUUACACUUUAAACAACGUUAAUGAGCAAAAGCAAAGAAAUUAAUUACGACCCGAUAUCACCAAGAUGGCGGUCCACAAGAAUAUAUUAUUUUAUGAAAAUUAUGACUGAAUCAGCUUAAAACUACCUACGCUCAAGAGCAAUAGGGUAUUUGACUACUAGUCAAAUCAGUUUCUUUUUUCGAACUGUCAAAACGAUUUUGCUACUAUGGAAUUUAUAUGAAACACUAGCAUGUGACGUCACAAUCAAAUUACCUACUCUUUAUAGCUUUAUACGAGUUUUAAAAUAGAAAUUGUGUCUAAAAAUAACUGCUGUCUACGUUACUCCAUUAAUCUUCUGGUGCUUUAUUUCAUACAUGUUGUUAAACAAUUUAUUUUAAAUACAGUCAAAUACCCUAUAAUAAAGUUGACACUUGAUGUUACGCUCUUACGCUAGCGAAUGCAUGAACUUGUCCAUCUCGCUCGCACUGGACGUGUUGGUGCGUUCGAGUUCACGCAGUCGCUAGCGUAAAUGUCAACUCAUGGUAGCCGUGCUGCGCAUUUUCAUAAGAUGCAUUUUUUGACAGAUAUAAAGUGAUGUUAAAAGUCAUGACAGCAUUUGUUAAUACUCUAGUUCCUCAAACAUGCAUUAUACUUAUAUAUUAAUGAAUACUAAUUUAAGUUUUAGUUAAUUACAUGCAAUAUUGUAUGUGUGGUAUUUUCUAUAAAAAGGGACCUUAUUGUCGAUGGCACUUACGCCAUUAUAAACGAUGCUCCGAUAUAAAUACAUGCCGCGCGGCGUAAGCGCCAUCGACAAUAAGGUCCCUUUUCAUAGAAAAUGCCCCAUAUAUCCUGCAUAAUUUCUAUAGGUUUAGUUGGAACCGAACUAAGUAAUUCGAAAUGCAAUUGUCACGGAAAUCAACCUAUAUCUAUACCGUGUCCAUGUUAUGUCUGAUCAUACUCUGAGCUGUGAAUAUGUAAGUAUAGGUCGAACAACUUUUUCUAUUUACCACCAAAAUUUCAAAAAAAUCAGCUGUCUCAUAAGCUCCCUCCACACUCGUGCGCGAAGCCGCGAACGCGAGUGUGGAGUCUAGUUCGCUAAUUAGCGAAAUUGACUCCACACUCGCGUUCGCGGCUUCGCGCCGCGUAGUCUGUAGCGGGCUAUACAUGUUGGCGAAUGAUAUGUCGAUAAUUUCUAUGGGUCAGCGGUGAUAUGUCGGUGAUUUCUAUGGGUCAGCGGUUUUUUUUUGCGCGAUUUCAGGGUCGGCCCCAUAAUAAAAGUUGUUCAGUAUGAUCUACUCGUACAUAUUUGGGGCAUUUUCUACGAAAAGGGACCUUAUUGUCGAUGGCGCUUACGCCGCACAGCGUCGCGCGGCAUUGUAUUUAUAUCGCAGCCUCGUUUAUAAUGGCGUAAGCGCCAUCGACUAUGAGGUCCCUUUUUAUAGAAAAUACCACAUUUCUCUUUAGAGUAUGAUCCGACAUAACAUAACAAAAAUAUCCUGUAUAAAAAUACGCAUUAUUAUGUACACUGUGUACAUUAAGUUUACAACUUGUUACUUAAUAGGUAGUUUAAUUUUGAAAUAAUCCAAAAUCAGGCAUAGAUAGUUAACAAAUUUAUAACGUGCCUCUAGUAGGUAGAAUUUAGGUAAAUAAAAAUUGUUUCGUGCCUUUUUAAAUUGUUUAUAUGUAUGUUUACCAAAUAUAAAACUAAACUGUGA